rnacentral:rRNA from 1 species
CAGCAGCCGCGGGAAUACGAAGGGGGCUAGCGUUGUUCGGAUUUACUGGGCGUGAAGCGCACGUAGGCGGAUCGACCAGUCAGGGGUGAAAUCCUGGAGCUCAACUCCAGAACUGCCUUUGAUACUGUCGAUCUCGAGUCCGGAAGAGGUGAGUGGAACUCCUAGUGUAGAGGUGGAAUUCGUAGAUAUUAGGAAGAACACCAGUGGCGAAGGCGGCUCACUGGUCCGGUACUGACGCUGAGGUGCGAAAGCGUGGGGAGCAAACAGGAUUAGAUACCCGUGUAGUCCCUGUCUCUUAUAC